rnacentral:tRNA from 1 species
GGGGAUAUAGUUCAGUUGGUAGAGUGCUUGCCUCAUAUGCAAGGCCCUGGGUUCAAUCCCCAGUACCACAA